rnacentral:tRNA from 1 species
GACAUAGUUUAACUAAAACACUAGAUUGUGAUUCUAAAAAUAGGGGUUAAAACCCCUUUGUCCACC